rnacentral:rRNA from 1 species
CGGCGGACGGGUGAGUAAUGCCUAGGAAUCUGCCUGGUAGUGGGGGACAACGUUUCGAAAGGAACGCUAAUACCGCAUACGUCCUACGGGAGAAAGCAGGGGAUCUUCGGACCUUGCGCGAUUGAAUGAGCCGAUGUCGGAUUAGCUAGUUGGCGGGGUAAAGGCCCACCAAGGCGACGAUCCGUAGCUGGUCUGAGAGGAUGAUCAGCCACACUGGAACUGAGACACGGUCCAGACUCCUACGGGAGGCAGCAGCG